GAUCAACGCUGGCGGCGUGCCUAAUACAUGCAAGUCGAGCGAACAGACGAGGAGCUUGCUCCUCUGACGUUAGCGGCGGACGGGUGAGUAACACGUGGAUAACCUACCUAUAAGACUGGGAUAACUUCGGGAAACCGGAGCUAAUACCGGAUAACAUGUUGAACCGCAUGGUUCAACAGUGAAAGACGGUUUUGCUGUCACUUAUAGAUGGAUCCGCGUCGCAUUAGCUAGUUGGUAAGGUAACGGCUUACCAAGGCAACGAUGCGUAGCCGACCUGAGAGGGUGAUCGGCCACACUGGAACUGAGACACGGUCCAGACUCCUACGGGAGGCAGCAGUAGGGAAUCUUCCGCAAUGGGCGAAAGCCUGACGGAGCAACGCCGCGUGAGUGAAGAAGGUCUUCGGAUCGUAAAACUCUGUUAUUAGGGAAGAACAAAUGUGUAAGUAACUAUGCACGUCUUGACGGUACCUAAUCAGAAAGCCACGGCUAACUACGUG
rnacentral:rRNA from 1 species